GCCCGGGUGCUGGAACUGGUAGACAGGCAUGGCUCAGAACCAUGUGUCCAUUAGGGCGUGCGGGUUCGACUCCCGCCUCGGGCA
rnacentral:tRNA from 1 species